AAACGAAUUCGCCCUUAGAGUUUGAUCCUGGCUCAGAUUGAACGCUGGCGGCAGGCCUAACACAUGCAAGUCGAGCGGCAGCACGGGUACUUGUACCUGGUGGCGAGCGGCGGACGGGUGAGUAAUGCCUAGGAAUCUGCCUGGUAGUGGGGGAUAACGCUCGGAAACGGACGCUAAUACCGCAUACGUCCUACGGGAGAAAGCAGGGGACCUCCGGGCCUUGCGCUAUCAGAUGAGCCUAGGUCGGAUUAGCUAGUUGGUGAGGUAAUGGCUCACCAAGGCGACGAUCCGUAACUGGUCUGAGAGGAUGAUCAGUCACACUGGAACUGAGACACGGUCCAGACUCCUACGGGAGGCAGCAGUGGGGAAUAUUGGACAAUGGGCGAAAGCCUGAUCCAGCCAUGCCGCGUGUGUGAAGAAGGUCUUCGGAUUGUAAAGCACUUUAAGUUGGGAGGAAGGGCAGUUACCUAAUACGUAAUUGUUUUGACGUUACCGACAGAAUAAGCACCGGCUAACUCUGUGCCAGCAGCCGCGGUAAUACAGAGGGUGCAAGCGUUAAUCGGAAUUACUGGGCGUAAAGCGCGCGUAGGUGGUUCGUUAAGUUGGAUGUGAAAUCCCCGGGCUCAACCUGGGAACUGCAUUCAAAACUGACGAGCUAGAGUAUGGUAGAGGGUGGUGGAAUUUCCUGUGUAGCGGUGAAAUGCGUAGAUAUAGGAAGGAACACCAGUGGCGAAGGCGACCACCUGGACUGAUACUGACACUGAGGUGCGAAAGCGUGGGGAGCAAACAGGAUUAGAUAC
rnacentral:rRNA from 1 species